AUGUUUUUUAAAAGGUGUUUUCACAAAUAUCCGGGAGGAAGCAAAAUUAAGUGUUAUAUACAAAAAAAAAAAAAAAAAAAAAUAGAUGUUAGCUUAUUCCAUCAACCUUUAUAUUCAAGAAACUCAAAGGGUUACAUAGAUUGGAGAUAUUGUACACCCAAAUCGGGUUACGAGUAUAUGUAUAUAUAUGGGGAAAACACAAUCGAAAUAACAAAUUUACCUAAUAACAAAACAAAUGAAUAUAUUCAAGAAAGACUAAGAAAAAGCUUAAAUAAAUAUGGAAGAUUAAAAAUUUUAAAAUGUUUAAGUAAUAGAAACGAUCCAUAUAUAAACAACAAUGUUGCUUAUGCCAGUUUUUACAAAAAAGCAGAUAUGUAUAAAUGUAUACGAAAUGUAAAUAUAAGAUUACCUUUAUCAUUACAACAUAAAAUUUUAAAAUUUAAAAGCUUAUAUUCUAAUAAAAGUAACGAUUAUAAUUAUUUUUUUAAACAAGAUCAUUAUAAUUACAGUUCAAUAAAUAUAGCGUUAAAUUUAUUUAAAUAUUUACAAUUUCAUAAUUGUUUUUUAAAUAUUAAAGACAUAUAUAAAUAUGUAUUUGAAUAUUCGUAUUAUCCUCAUAAAAUUAUUAGUUCAGGUAUAUCUAUAUAUAAGGUAUUUAACAGUUGGCUUAACUUUAUUAACUUCUUUGAAGAACUUUUUAUCAAAACAAAUAAAAACAAUGAAAUAUUAAUUAGUGCGAAUAUUAUAUCCGAUCAAAAUUUAUGUAUAUAUUUAAAUAACAAAUUAAUCGAAUUAAAAAAAAAAACGAACUCGAUUAACUCUGUACACUGGAGACAACAUUCUUUACAAUUACCACAAGAUGUAGAAGCUAAGUUAAACAAUGAACAUCCACAAAAAUUAAAAGAAGAAAUUCAAAUUUUAUCAAGAACGAAAGAUUUUUACAAGAUUCAUGAUGAACGUCAUUUAUUUAAAUUAAAACUCAACAAAGAGAGGAAAGAAAAAAAAGGGUUAGUAAAAAUGUACUUUCAUUUUUAACAUAUUAUACAUAUUAUGCAUAUAUAUAUAUAUAUAUUUAUGUAUUGUUUUACAUCGUUGAAACUAUUACUAUGUGGAUGAAAUAUUUAUGUGGAUCAUAUUUUAUAAAUUGCCACAUAUAUAUAUAUAUAUAUAUAUAUAUAUAUAUAUAUAUAUAUAUAUAUAUGUAUUACUUUUAAAUAGUACCGAUGUCCAAUAAGUGUUCCUACCAUUAUUAUUUUUAAAUUACAUAAUUUUCACAAAUAAUUACAUAAACAAAUUACAUUGUUUCUCCAAGCUUAAUACAAUAAAUCAUAUAAAACAUGUAGAUAGAUGGUCA
ensembl:lncRNA